GCAGUGAACAAUGGGGUACAUAUGUCUUUUUCAGUUUUGAUUUCCUCAGGGUAUGUGCCUAGAAGUGGGAUUUCUGGGUCAUAAGGUAGUUUUAUUCCUAGCUUUUUAAGGAGUCUCCAUACUGACUUCCAUAAUGGCUGUAUCAGUUCACAUUCCCACCAGCAAAGAAAGAGUGUUCCCUUUUAUCCAUACCCUCUCUGGCAUUUAUUGUUGUAGACCUUUUUGUUGAUGGCCAUUCUGACUGGUGUGAGGUGGUAUCUCAUUGUAGUUUUGAUUUUAAUUUCUCUGAUAAUGAACGAUGUUGAGCAUCUUUUCAUGUGCUUGUUAGCCACCUGUAUGUCUUCUUUGGAGAAAUGUCUCUUCAGGUCCCUUUCCCACUUUUUGAUUGGGUUGUUUGCUUUUCUGGUAUUGAGUGGUAUAAGCUGCUUGUGUAUUUUGGAAAUUAAUUUUUUAUAAGAAAAGAAAAGAUAUAUCCAUCUGAAUGCAGGGUUCCAAAGAAUAGCAAGGAGAGAUAAGAAAGCCUUCCUCAAUGAUCAAUGCAAAGAAACAGAGGAAACAAUAGAAUGGGAAAGACUGGAUAUCUCUUCAAGAAAAUUAGAGAUACCAAGGGAACCUUUCAUGCAAAGAUGGGCACAAUAAAGGACAGAAAUGGUAUAGACCUAACAGAAGCAGAAGAUAUUAAGAAGAGGUGGCAAGAAUACACAGAAGAACUAUACAGAAAAUAUCUUCAUGACCCAGAUAACCAUGAUAGUGUGAUCCCUCACCUAGAACCAGACAUCCUGGAGUGCAAAGUCAAGUGGGCCUUUGGAAGUAUCACUACAAAGAAAGCUAGUGGAGGUGAUGGAAUUCCAGUUGAGCUAUUUCAAAUCCUAAAAGAUGAUGCUGUGAAUGUGAUGUACUUAAUAUGCUAGAAAAUCUGGAAAACUCAGCAGUGGUCACAAAACUGGAAAAGGUCAGUUUUCAUUCCAAUCCAAAAGAAAGGCAAUGCCAGAGAACGUUCAAACUACUCCACAGUUGCACUCAUCUCACACACUAGCAAAGUAAUGCUCAAAAUUCUCCAAGUUAGGCUUCAACAGUACAUGAAACAAGAAUUUCCAGAUGUUCAAAUUAGAUUUAGAAAAGGCAGAGGAACCAGAGAUCAAAUUGCCAACAUCCACUGGAUCAUAGAAAAACUGAGAGAAUUCUAGAAAAACAUCGACUUCUGCUUUACUGACUGCACCAAAUCCUUUGACUGUGUGGAUCACAACAAGCUGUGGAAAAUUCUUCAAGAGAUGGGAAUACCAGACCUCCUGACCUGCCUCCUGAGAAAUCUGUAUGCAGGUCAAGAAGCAACAGUUAGAACUGGACAUGGAACAACAGACUGGUUGCAAAUCAGGAAAGGAGUACAUCCAGGCUGUAUAUUGUCAUCCUGCUUAUUUAACUUAUAUGCAGAGUACAUCAUGUGAAAUGCUGGGUUGGAUGAAGCACAAGUUGGAAUCAAGUUUUCUGGGACAAAUAUCAAUAACCUCAGAUACACAGAUGACACUGCCUUAUGGCUGAAAGUGAAGAGGAACUAAAGAGCCUCUUGGUGAAAGUAAAAGAGGAGAGUGAAAAAGCUGACUUAAAACUCAGCAUUCAGAAAACUAAGAUCAUGGCAUCCAAUCCCGUCAUUUCAUUGCAAAUAGAUAGGGAACAAAUGGAAACAGUGACAGACAUUUUUUCUUGGGUUCAAAAAUCACUGUAGAUGGUGACUGCAGCCAUGAAAUUAACAGAUACUUGCUCCUUGGAAGAAAAACUUUGACAAACCUAGACACCAUAUUAAAAAGCAGUGACAUUACUUUGCCAACAAAGGUCCAUGUAGUCAAAGCUAUGGUUUUUUCAGUAGUUAUGUAUGGAUGUGAGAGUUGGACCAUGAAGAAAGCCGAGUGCUGAAGAAUUGAUGCUUUUUAACUGUGGUGUUGAAGACUCUUUAGAGUCCAUUGGACUGCAAGGAGAUCAAACCAGUCAAUCCUAAAGGAAAUCAGUCCUCAAUAUUCAUUGGAAGGACUGAUGCUGAAGCUGAAGCUCCAAUACUUUGGCCCCUUGAUGCCAAGAACUGACUCCUUGGAAGAGACCCCGAUGCUGGGAAAGAUUGGAGGCAGGAGGAGAUGGGGAUGACAGAGGAUGAAAUGGUUGGGUGGCAUCACUGAUUUGAUGGACAUGAGUUUGUGCAAGCUCUGGGAGUUGAUGAUGGACAGGGAAGCCUGGCAUUCUUUAGUCCAUGGGGUUGCAAAGAGUCAGACAUGAGCUGAACUGAACUUUUUGUUUGGGGCCUGGGUUUAUAGCUGUGGGGGUGAAGGAUAACUCCAAUGUCUAUUAAAUUUUUUUUCUUUGUUUGCUAUAAUCCUGUAGAACUUGUGAAUGAAAGAUUCAUUGAUAUUAGAGCCAGGCAACCCAAGGGCUCAUUCCUAGGGUAAUUAUUGGAAAAGCUGAUGUGCCAGAUACGUGCAAGAUACUGGUGAUUCAUUUUCGUUAUUGGAGUGAAGUGAAAGGAGAAGAUUGUAGCCAACCACUAUAUGCUUUCUAAAUUAGAAACCUGGACUUCAUGCAACAGAUUUUAAAGUAUGCAUAUAAACUCCUUUCAGAGAAAGACUAGGAGAAAGGCAGUUUUGCCUUCUCCCUUUGUGUUGAGCACUGGAUGGGUGGUGAGUGAGGGGAUAGUCAGUUAAGAAUUAAUUCUUUGCUAUAUUUCUGUCAGAUUGGUGAGUGGAAGCCUCUUUGCUAUCAGAUCUCAGCAACCUAAGUCCUAUCUCUUAAGUGGCAGGUGUAAAAACUAGAGCGCACACAUGUGUACAAGCUGGAGCACACACAUGUGUAUAAGCUCUUUCUAGAGAGAUACUGGUUGCUUGGAGUGGGCUGGAGAGGGAAGAUGGGGAUUGGUGUUGCCUGACUUCUCUGAUUUCUGGGGAGGAUUACAGCUAGUUCCCAGUGCCUACUAAAUUAGAAUCCUGGCCCUCAGGCAGCAGCUUUUAAAAUAUUGGGAUAAACUUUGGGGAAAAACCCGGAGAUGGGAGAUUUUGCCUGUUCCCUCUACACUGACCUCUGAGGGGACAGCCAUGACGAGUACUGGGUACCAGUUAGGGAUUUGUUCUUUGUUUGCCAUAGUCUUGUGAGUCUCAUGGAUGCAAACCUCAUUUGCUUUCAGAGCUGGGUGUUUUGGGAGCCCCAAGAUACUCUGGUGGGUAUUUUAAAAGCUAGGAUACUAGUUGUGUGGUUCAAACCCUUCACUCCUCAGGGAGAAGCUAGGAGUUGGGGGGUUUCCUCCCAAUUGUAUGGUAAUAUAUCAAGGGAGUUUAUAGUGAGACCAUGUCUCAGCCUUUCCUACCUUUUUAUUUUAAUGUGGGUAUUUUCUCAUUCAUCUGAUGUAUAGGAGUUACUCAACUAGUUUCCGGAUUUCUUUCGGAGGGAAUUGCUCCAUGUGCAGCUGUAUAUUCAGUGUAUCUGUGGGAGGAGAGGAACUCAGGAGACUUCCUUAUUACCUCAUGGUCAACUCUCUUAUUUCCUUUGGAAGCUAGAGCUGGAUUAAAUGAAUUCUUGACCUUGAUCUAAAUAUUCUUUGAAGUCUACUUGAAAAGCAUCAUGAAUUUUAGCUUAUCAUUAUUUUAAAAUAAAAGUAUGGUGUUCUAAGUAUUCAAAGCAUAAGACUUUGUGUAUGAGAAAGUUUAUUAGUUUCUUAAAGACAUUCAAGAGAAAGAGCAGGGAAAUAAAUGAAAACCAAUAGAUUUUUAGAAUGUAAGACAUUGUUAGUAAUUUCAGAACAAAUAUAGCUAUGUUUUUGGUUCCUAAUAAAUGGAUCCUAUUUAAGUUCAAUGGAUUAUAGCUGUUAUUCUCAAGAAGCUUUUUUACAUUAGCAUUCUCCUGGAAGAGCUUUAGAACAAUUAGAAAACUUUAAUUCAUAAAUUAUCAAUAUUCAGUAUAUUGAUAGAUUCAGAUGACUUUGCCUGCAAAAAAGAAAAAAAGCUACCAUGGCAGGCUUCUUUAAAAUUUUAUUGUCUAUGUAUCUAUCUAUACUAUUUUUUUUAUGUAACGCUUUUGCUAUGUUCCAUUUUGCUGUGUUCCCUACUGGCUUUGGUAAGUUUCUUAGCAUUAUAUUCUGAAAGCUACAAAGUAUACCUGGCGG
ensembl:lncRNA